UUCCGGUUGAUCCCGCCGGACCUGACUGCUAUCGGAUUGAUACUAAGCCAUGCGAGUCUUUGUAGUAAUACAAGGCAUACGGCUCAGUAACACGUAGUCAACCUACCCUAUGGACGAGAAUAAUCUCGGGAAACUGAGCAUAAUUCUUGAUAGAUCAUAAUGCCUGGAAUGGUUUAUGGUUAAAAUGAUUCGUCGCCAUAGGAUGGGACUGCGGCCUAUCAGCUUGUUGGUGAGGUAAUGGCCCACCAAGGCGAUUACAGGUACGGGCUCUGAGAGGAGAAGCCCGGAGAUGGGUACUGAGACACGGACCCAGGCCCUAUGGGGCGCAGCAGGCGAGAAAACUUUGCAAUGUGCGAAAGCACGACAAGGUUAAUCCGAGUGAUUUCUGCUAAAGAAAUCUUUUGCCAGUCGUAAAACCACUGGUGAAUAAGGGGUGGGCAAGUUCUGGUGUCAGUCGCCGCGGUAAAACCAGCACCUCAAGUGGUCAGGAUGAUUAUUGGGCCUAAAGCAUCCGUAGCCUGCUUUGUAAGUUUUCGGUUAAAUCCAUGUGCUCAACGCAUGGGCUGCCGAAAAUACUGCAUAGCUAGGGAGUGGGAGAGGUAGACGGUACUCAGUAGGUAGGGGUAAAAUCCUUUGAUCUAUUGAUGACCACCUGUGGCGAAGGCGGUCUACCAGAACACGUUCGACGGUGAGGGAUGAAAGCUGGGGGAGCAAACCGGAUUAGAUACCCGGGUAGUCCCAGCUGUAAACGAUGCAGACUCGACGAUGCAUUGGCAUAAUAGCCAUUGCAGUGUCGCAGGGAAGCCGUUAAGUCUGCCGCCUGGGAAGUACGUACGCAAGUAUGAAACUUAAAGGAAUUGGCGGGGGAGCACCACAAGGGGUGAAGCCUGCGGUUCAAUUGGAAUCAACGCCGGA
rnacentral:rRNA from 1 species